UGAGGAAUAUUGGUCAAUGGGCGCAAGCCUGAACCAGCCAUCCCGCGUGCAGGAAGACGGCCCUAUGGGUUGUAAACUGCUUUUCCAGGGGGAGAAUUUUUCUGUCGUGACAGGCAUUGACGGUACCCUGGGAAUGAGCAUCGGCUAACUCCGUUCCUGCAGCCGCGGUAAUACGUAGGAUGCGAGCGUUCUCCGGAUUUAUUGGGUUUAAAGGGUGCGUAGGCGGAUUAAUAAGUCAGUGGU
rnacentral:rRNA from 1 species